rfam:Gossypium hirsutum cultivar TM-1 chromosome 18, whole genome shotgun sequence
AUUCCAUGGUGAGGGCAUUUUCGUAGUAGUCCUUUGUAUUGUUCCCAUGCCUCAUACAAGGACUCAUCAUCCAUUUGUUGGAAGGCAGUGAUCUCGUUCCUCAACUU